GAUGAACGCUGGCGGCGUGCCUAAUACAUGCAAGUCGAGCGAACGGACGAGAAGCUUGCUUCUCUGAUGUUAGCGGCGGACGGGUGAGUAACACGUGGAUAACCUACCUAUAAGACUGGGAUAACUUCGGGAAACCGGAGCUAAUACCGGAUAAUAUUUUGAACCGCAUGGUUCAAAAGUGAAAGACGGUCUUGCUGUCACUUAUAGAUGGAUCCGCGCUGCAUUAGCUAGUUGGUAAGGUAACGGCUUACCAAGGCAACGAUGCAUAGCCGACCUGAGAGGGGAGCAGCCCACCGUGAGAGAGGCACAGCGCCCACCCUCGGACGGAGGCAGGGAGGAGGGAUUCUUCGGAAGGGGGAGAAGGCCGGAGGAAGCAACGCGGGGGAGGUGAAAAGGGUCUUGGGACCUAAAACUUGUUUUAUGGGGAAAAAAGAAAUGUUUAAGUAAGAGUACAAUUCUGGAGGGACCCUAAGAAAAAAGCCCGGGCUAACUCUGUC
rnacentral:rRNA from 1 species